rnacentral:lncRNA from 1 species
GGUGAAAGUCAUUGCUUCCCAGGCAGGCCGGUGUCAAGGACAAGUUCCCGUAGUUCACGGUACUUACGUCCUGCAGAGUCUGCAGCCACUGACCUGGGCUGGUCCCCGGCGCUGCUGCACCAGUUCCUGCUACAGAUGCUCACGGCAUGUGCGUCCCCUGAGCGCCCUGCCACCUGCCAUCCACGUGUUUCUGAUUCAAGUCGCUGUAUUCGCCACAUACUGCAGACCCGCGGCUGCUGAGUUGGUGGCCAGGCCUGAGGCCACCCUCAGGGUUUCUCCGCAAGCCAUGUCAUGCCCUCGUGGCCCCAGACAGCUUCCCGGCACUUCGCUUGGGGGGCAUUUUAAAUGGUGAAAUCACCAAGAAAAACACACAAAUGUGAAGGGCAAGGCCGCAGGACCUGUGGUGAGGCAGGGGUACAAGAGGGAGCAGCCUCCCGCAGAGCAUGGAGCCCGACAUGGGAUCCCCCAGGCCCCAGGAUCGCAGCCUGAGCCAAAGGCCCCUGGGCACCCCGAGAGCAUGUGUGAGGGCAGGAGGCAGUAACGCUGGGGCAGCCCUGAGCAGCACGGCCGCACACACACCCGGCCAGGCAGAGCCUCCCCUGGGCCCAGGGCCAUGCCUGCGUCAGCCGGUGUGGGGGCGAGGACCGGGUGGCCCCGUAUGCCUGUCAGGGAUGAGACCUCCCCUGCGUCUCAGUCCACACUGCCUGACGCUGCCUCAGCCACACAGGCAGCUGAGCCCACAAGGGGACCUGCUGCCAGCUCCAUCACUUUGUCAGGUGAGGCCCUGCAUCCAAGUGCGAAUUGAGCCGAAGGCUGAGCCUAGAGCCCUGGGGCAGAGAGGCUCAUACGGUGACAGCGCCUGUCCUGGGCACAGGGCCAGCAGGUCUGUGUUACUGCCUCACCCGUGUCCUGCAAGGAGACUCAGACAGAUAGCCAAGCAGGAGACCGUGGGUGGGUGCCCGUCGGGCCUGUGCCCGCAACGUUCCUGCCCUGCCAGCCCCUGGUCUCCGGGGGCCCCUGUCACCCCGACUCUGGUAACUUCAACGCCCAGCCUGAAAGCAGACAGCCCGACGGAGCAGCCACUUUGGAGCCGCCUGUGGUCUCAGGGACUUCCCCGUGGUGACACCUGGCACUGCGUGUCUCCAGGCCUUGACGCCCCCACGUCCCUGCGGGGGAGGGAGGAGCAGAGGCCACUAUCGGGUGGACACACACACUGUGUGGACCAUGACUUGUGCGGCUCCCUGUGUCCUCCUGCAAAGCUGCCCCGCUGA